rnacentral:sRNA from 1 species
AGGACAUUUCUGAUUUAUUUGCAUCCUUGAAGAGCAUCUGUAGAAGAGGAAGUAAAAGAUGGGUGUGAAAACAUUUACUCAUAGCUCCUCUUCCCACAGCCAGGAAAUGCUUGGAAAGCUAAAUAUGCUGCGAAAUGAUGGACAUUUUUGUGAUAUCACUAUUCGUGUCCAGGACAAAAUCUUCCGGGCACAUAAGGUGGUACUAGCAGCUUGCAGUGAUUUCUUUCGCACCAAACUUGUAGGCCAAGCCGAGGAUGAGAACAAGAAUGUGUUGGAUCUGCAUCAUGUUACAGUGACUGGCUUUAUACCUCUUUUAGAAUAUGCUUACACAGCCACUCUAUCAAUUAACACAGAAAAUAUUAUUGAUGUUCUAGCAGCAGCCAGCUAUAUGCAAAUGUUCAGUGUUGCCAGCACCUGCUCAGAGUUCAUGAAAUCAAGCAUUUUAUGGAAUACACCCAACAGCCAACCUGAAAAGGGUCUAGAUGCUGGACAAGAAAAUAAUUCUAACUGCAAUUUUACUUCUCGAGAUGGGAGCAUUUCUCCCGUGUCCUCAGAGUGCAGUGUGGUAGAAAGAACGAUUCCUGUCUGCCGAGAAUCCCGAAGAAAGCGCAAAAGCUACAUUGUUAUGUCUCCUGAAAGUCCUGUAAAGUGUGGCACACAAACAAGCUCACCCCAGGUAUUGAAUUCUUCAGCUUCCUACUCAGAAAAUAGAAACCAACCAGUUGACUCUUCCUUAGCUUUUCCUUGGACUUUUCCUUUUGGAAUUGAUCGAAGGAUUCAGCCUGAGAAAGUUAAGCAAGCAGAAAAUACCCGGACUUUAGAAUUACCUGGCCCAUCUGAGACCGGUAGAAGAAUGGCUGAUUAUGUGACUUGUGAGAGCACAAAAACUACCUUGCCUUUAGGUACCGAAGAAGAUGUCCGGGUCAAAGUAGAAAGAUUAAGUGAUGAGGAGGUCCACGAGGAAGUGUCCCAGCCUGUCAGUGCAUCUCAGAGUUCACUGAGUGAUCAGCAGACAGUUCCAGGAAGUGAACAAGUCCAAGAGGACCUUCUGAUUAGUCCACAGUCUUCCUCUAUAGGCUCAGUAGAUGAAGGCGUUUCUGAGGGGUUGCCUACACUUCAAAGCACGUCUAGCACUAAUGCUCCUCCGGAUGAUGAUGAUCGGUCAGUACUAACAUAGCAUUUCGUUACCUCUUAAGGGUUGUGUUUACAACUCCAAAUUCAAGCAUUUCAUCUCAAGAGUUGUAGAAGUUUAUUACAACCUCACUUCAGUAUACUUUUCAAAGUAAUGAAGUAGCAUCAUCACAUUAUAAAUUAGAGUACCUAUACAAGGCUUUUUUUUUUCCCCCAGCAUUUCCAAAACUACCUAGUCCCAUUGCUUUAAAUUGUAUCUGUACCAAGUGUUGGCAAACUAUGAACCACAGGCCAAUUCCAGCCUACCACCUUUAUUUGUAAAUCAAGUAUUACUGGAACACAACCAGGCUCAUUUGCUGACAUAUUGUUUGUGGAUGGCAGAGUUGAGUGGUUGAAACAGACUGUAUGGUGUGCAAAGUCAGAAUGUGUGCUGUACGGACUGCUGUGAAAAACAUCUGCCAAAGUCUGAUCUGUAUACCCAUAACUCCCUCCCUGCUUGAUAUUUCCACAUAAAUGUAUAAAGGGCAUUUCACAUUUAACAAGGCCAAGACAGAACUCUUGAUUUCUAACUCCUUGUCUGAAUCCUGCUUCUCCAGCCUUUCUCCCAUUUCAGUAAGCAUCAGUAAGCAUCAUCAUUAUCCCCUAAUUUCUCAAGCAAAAUCUCUGAGGAUUAUUCUUAAUCUUUUUUCCUUACCACUCUUCAUCUCCCUCGUAGUUAAUCCUUAAGUCCUGUCAACUCUGCCUAUAAAAUAUAUCCCUGUCUACUUUUCUAAUCUGUACUGUAGCCACCCUACUGUAAGUCACCACCAUCUUUUGCCUUGACUACUGCAAUAACCUUCAAAGUAGCCUCUGAUUGCAUUCUUCCCCUAAUCCAUUUUCCAUAUAGCAGCCAAAAUCAUCUUUUCUUUUUUAAUUAAGUCAGAUUAUGUCACUGUUUUAAGCUAUAGAUUCUUAACAUUCUUUAUUCCUACCUAAAAUCUAUAGGCCUUGCUAUGCCUUCUAAAGCCCUACACGAUAUGACUUCUGCCUAACUCCGUC